rnacentral:rRNA from 1 species
UACGGGGGGGGUAAGCGUUGUUCGGAAUUACUGGGCGUAAAGGGCUCGUAGGCGGCCAACUAAGUCAGACGUGAAAUCCCUCAGCUUAACUGGGGAACUGCGUCUGAUACUGGAUGGCUUGGAUUCGGGAGAGGAAUGCGGAAUUCCCGGUGUAGCGGUGAAAUGCGCAGAUAUCUGGAGGAACACCGGUGGCGAAGGCGGCAUCCUGGACCGACACUGACGCUGAGGAGCGAAAGCCAGGGGAGCAAACGGG